GCGUUUCGUUUACACCGAAAAGAAGUCUGUAAAACCCAGACCAUUUUGA
rnacentral:tRNA from 1 species